rnacentral:snRNA from 1 species
ACACUUACCUGGAAGGUGGUUUUCCCACGGCGAGGCUCAUCCAUUGCACUUGGGAUGUACCCAUCCCUGCGAUUUCCUCAAAUGUGGGAAACUCGCCUGUAUAAGUUGUCAUAGUCGGCGCCUGAGUUUUGCUUUCCCUUGGA